GGGGCUGGGGCUCAGCGGUAGAGCACUCACCUAGUACGUGUGAGGCCCUGAGUUCGAUCCUCAGCACCA
rnacentral:tRNA from 1 species